CAAGCGGAGCAAAAGCCAACUGCAGAAAAAGGAACAAAAAGCGGUUUCCGCAGUAGGGGCUGAAUCCCGGCGAGGCGGGAACGGGAGCAGAUCUCUUGUGCUGCCCGCGGCGGCCCGAGAGCGGCUGCUUCGGUCAGGCCAGGGCUAUCGCCGCUGGGCCUGGGCAGUGAGCCCAGCUUUCAGCGUGAGCCGCGCUAGGAACUGCCGCUACCUAAACCUGAGGUGAAAUUUAGACCACGAGUUGGGUAUGACGCCAGUAGUGUCGCCAGUUAACGGGACUGCUGUUACGCAGCGAAAGACAAGCUGAAUUUAUUUAGCUGUAGGCCAGGGGUGAGCUCCAGGGACUUAAAGGCCUUUUCGGCGCUUCUGUGGAGCGGACUGGCCUGUGGCAAUGGAACAAAGCGCUGCACAGGGAGUGCUCCCGCACCACCAGAGCUUGGCACCUCCCAGGCGGGACGGCAGCAGGACACUGAGAGCUGCCCAACACCGGGAACGUGGUCCGUACUGCUGAGGCUCUGUCCUUGUCCUUCCAGAUUUCUUGCUGCUUCCUGCAUAGCCGCUGGCUUCACGGACCCUCACAGCCGCUCUGUGACUCUGCCUUCCAAAAGUCACAGGGAAAUGUCUCUGACAGAGUUGGUGUCGUGCUGGGUGCAGUUGAAAUAACAUGAACAAAAGCUUUGCAACUGGCAUAUUCUUCUGAGUUCGCUGAUUCCAGAGCUAUCAGAGUAGCAGAAAUGUUUUUGCUUCAUUAUGCUUUUUUGGUUCACUUCUUAUGUAUUCUCAGAAGCUGUGAAGAUUGAAGAUAUGGAGGAUGAUAUUCUAUCAAGAAUAGAAAUUUAGAAUCAUGGAAUUAAAGUCUGAGUAAUAUGCCAGUUUUCAUGGAAGUUCAUCAAGGAAUGUCUCCCAUGGGAGGGACCCCACACUGGAUCAGGGAAGGAGUGUGAGGAAUUCCCCCGAGGAGGAAGGAGCA